rnacentral:tmRNA from 2 species
GGGGAUGAUCAGUUUCGACAGGGAAAUAGGAAUGUGUUCGUGCACAACAAAGUUGUGGCAACUUUUAAAACUGCCUCAAAAUUCUAAGUGCAAAUAAAACAGCACGUGGAGUUCUUUCACCGAUUCAGAUGAAGGACCUCCAGUUCGCUUACGCGUUAGCCUAAGCGACCACGCUCUUACCUUACAUCCGAUGCGGUAAGCGGCGUGUCAUAAGAUUCGGGUUCGAGCCUUAUCUCACUCCGGGUAAGGACCUAAAGAAAGAGAGUCCGGCAUUGUAUCGUUUCGUUCAUCUUUAAGAUGCAGUGCUUAAAUCUCAAGAUGUUCUACGUUGUGUAGAAGCGCUCAUAUUCUCUUCUCUGGACCCGGGUGCGAUUCCCGGCAUCUCCACAA